rnacentral:lncRNA from 1 species
CACCGCCACAACCAUGCUUCUCCCCUGUCGCUCGCCCGGCUAGCAGCAGCACCGCCAUCGCCGCCUCCGCGUCGACAGCAGCACAGCCCAGCCGGCGCCCCUCCUUUUCCAGAUCUAGCACCGCCCAUCCGCCUCCUCCCCCAACCAACCUUCCAGUUCUCACUAAUUCUCCAUUUCUUUCCACACUAAUUCUAUUUCCUUAUGGAAAUUACAGAAAAAUCGAUGUAUGCAUGUUUUGAUUUGAAAACAGAAUUCUGUUGUAAAGUUUUGGUUUUGGGCAGAUAUGAAAACAAUGAAGAAAAUUGUGAAUAAAGCUUUAUAAAAUAAUUAAAGUUACCAGUGGAAAUUCUGUAGUGAUAAAGAGCAGAGAUUUACGAACAGAGUAAGAAGUAAAUCAGUAGCUG